GAUCAUGGCUCAGGAUGAACGCUGGCGGCGUGCCUAACACAUGCAAGUCGAACGGAAACUAAGCGCUUCGGAGACUUCGGUCAAUGUUGCUUGGUUUAGUGGCGGACGGGUGAGUAACGCGUGGAUAACCUGCCUCAUACAGGGGGAUAACAGUUAGAAAUGACUGCUAAUACCGCAUAAGCGCACAGUUUCGCAUGGAACAGUGUGAAAAACUCCGGUGGUAUGAGAUGGAUCCGCGUCUGAUUAGCUAGUUGGCGGGGUAACAGCCCACCAAGGCGACGAUCAGUAGCCGGCCUGAGAGGGUGAACGGCCACAUUGGGACUGAGACACGGCCCAAACUCCUACGGGAGGCAGCAGUGGGGGAUAUUGCACAAUGGGGGAAACCCUGAUGCAGCCGACGCCGCGUGAGUGAAGAAGUAUUUCGGUAUGUAAAGCUCUAUCAGCAGGGAAGAUAAUGACGGUACCUGACUAAGAAGCACCGGCUAAAUACGUGCCAGCAGCGGC
rnacentral:rRNA from 1 species